GGAAGAAUUCGGUUAGUAAUUUACCCUGUUCGUUAUCUUUCCUCAAUAACAAGGAUCACAUUUUAUUUAAUAAACUCAAGAUGUGCACGCUUACUAUUUUAGGGAUUGAACCUUGGACAUUUGAGCAAAGACUUGGAGAGUCAGUUUUCAUUCCUGCAGGAUGCCCUCACCAAGUGCGUAAUCUCAAGUCGUGUACCAAAGUUGCUGCUGAUU
rnacentral:misc_RNA from 1 species